UCUGGUGGCCAUAUCGUUGGGGUCCCACCGGUUCCCAUUCCGAACACCGAAGUUAAGCCCAAUCGAGCCAAUGAUACUGGGGCAGCAUGCCCUGGGAAAGUAGGUUACCGCCAGAG
rnacentral:rRNA from 1 species